AGGACGAACGCUGGCGGCGUGCUUAACACAUGCAAGUCGAACGGAAAGGCCCUUCGGGGUACUCGAGUGGCGAACGGGUGAGUAACACGUGGGUGAUCUGCCCUGCACUUUGGGAUAACCCUCGGAAACGGGGCUAAUACCGGAUAUGACGCACAUUCGCAUGGAUGGUGUGUGGAAAGAUUUUUUGGUGGGGAUGGGCUCGCGGCCUAUCAGCUUGUUGGUGGGUGAUGGCCUACCGAAGGCGACGACGGGUAGCC
rnacentral:rRNA from 1 species